GGCUCAGGAUGAACGCUGGCGGCGUGCCUAAUACAUGCAAGUCGAGCGAAUGGAUUGAGAGCUUGCUCUCAAGAAGUUAGCGGCGGACGGGUGAGUAACACGUGGGUAACCUGCCCAUAAGACUGGGAUAACUCCGGGAAACCGGGGCUAAUACCGGAUAACAUUUUGAACUGCAUGGUUCGAAAUUGAAAGGCGGCUUCGGCUGUCACUUAUGGAUGGACCCGCGUCGCAUUAGCUAGUUGGUGAGGUAACGGCUCACCAAGGCAACGAUGCGUAGCCGACCUGAGAGGGUGAUCGGCCACACUGGGACUGAGACACGGCCCAGACUCCUACGGGAGGCAGCAGUAGGGAAUCUUCCGCAAUGGACGAAAGUCUGACGGAGCAACGCCGCGUGAGUGAUGAAGGCUUUCGGGUCGUAAAACUCUGUUGUUAGGGAAGAACAAGUGCUAGUUGAAUAAGCUGGCACCUGAC
rnacentral:rRNA from 1 species